AAGAAACCCCGUCUGCGCCACUUGAAUCUCCGAGGACGCCGUGACUCCCUGGAGACCAGUGAGUGGAUUUGAUUGGGUCGGGCGUACGAAAUGGCGGCAGAGAGACACACAAACCGGGAGGAUGUGGAUUAUAUGAGUUAGAAAUCAAGUCAUGUCGCUUCGGGUUUCUGGUCUUCUAUGGAGAUGUUGGGAGACAGAUUUACUCCGCGCACUCACCCCAACCUAAUGGGACAACUUGGAAAGAGAGUAGCUAAUAAAAUGCCGGUGCCACGAAGCAGCAGUCCGGUCAGCGUAUACGUCGAGCUCCCAAGCAUCGUCGAUCAAGCUUUUUCAACUAUUUCGUGGGAUGAUUUGGAGGGUUGCUCCUCUGAGUCAAGACCAGAUUCGCUCAUCUCCCAG